GACGGAGGUGGCAAACGUUGCUCGGAAUUACUGGGCUUAAAGGGCGUGUAGGCGGCCGACUAAGUCGGGUGUGAAAAACCUCGGCUCAACCGAGGAAUUGCACUCGUUACUGGUCAGCUAGAGUGCGAGAGGGGCAAGUGGAACUCCAGGUGUAGCGGUGAAAUGCGUAGAUAUCUGGAGGAACGCCGGUGGCGAAAGCGACUUGCUGGCUCGUAACUGACGCUGAGGCGCGAAAGCCAGGGGAGCAAAC
rnacentral:rRNA from 1 species